AGUAACGGCGAGUGAAGCGGUAACAGCUCAAAUUUGAAAUCUGGCCUCACGGUCCGAGUUGUAAUUUGUAGAGGAUGCUUCGAGCAUGGUCUGGCCUAAGUUCCUUGGAACAGGACGUCAUAGAGGGUGAGAAUCCCGUAUGCGGCCAGGUGCCUACGCUCAUGUGAAGCUCCUUCGACGAGUCGAGUUGUUUGGGAAUGCAGCUCAAAAUGGGUGGUAAAUUUCAUCUAAAGCUAAAUAUUGGCCAGAGACCGAUAGCGCACAAGUAGAGUGAUCGAAAGAUGAAAAGCACUUUGGAAAGAGAGUUAAACAGUACGUGAAAUUGUUGAAAGGGAAGCGCUUGCAACCAGACUUGCGCGCGGCCGAUCAUCCGGUGUUCUCACCGGUGCACUCGGCCGUGCUCAGGCCAGCAUCGGUUUUGGCGGCUGGAUAAAGGCCCUAGGAAUGUAGCUCCUCUCGGGGAGUGUUAUAGCCUAGGGUGCAAUGCAGCCUGCUGGGACCGAGGACCGCGCUUCGGCUAGGAUGCUGGCGUAAUGGUUGUAAGCGGCCCGUCUUGAAACACGGACCAAGGAGUCUAACAUCUAUGCGAGUGUUUGGGUGUCAAACCCAUACGCGUAAUGAAAGUGAACGGAGGUGAGAACCCUUAAGGGUGCAUCAUCGACCGGUCCUGAAGUUUACGGAAGGAUCUGAGUAAGAGCAUAGCUGUUGGG
rnacentral:rRNA from 1 species